CUGCCAUGUUAACUAACGCUAGUGCUGCAGUGCCGCUGUGUUUACAUUAAAAGGCCUGCAGGGACAGGCUAUAGACACCAGGACCACUACAUUAAGGUGCAGUGGUUCUGGGGACUAUAGUGUUUCUUUAAUGUGAGGUAAAUUAGAGAUUAGUGCCACAAAUAAUAUACUAGAUUACCUACUUACAAGCAGAUGAGGAUGAUGAUGGGCUCUAGCUG
rnacentral:lncRNA from 1 species